CAAAGCAAGAACAGGUGUGAAAACGGCAAGUGGAAGGUACAGAAAAAGCCAGAAGGGAAGGGUAGUGUGGCCUCACUCUCCAACAACUCUCCCUUUUAGUAAUUUCUCUACAUCCUGGAGAUGUGGCACACCCCUGAGGAACAGACAUUAUUCUUUCUGAAGGCGGUGCCAGAUAGCCUGAUUACUCUCCACGAGGUCUUACCUAUUAGAAACUCCACCCUUUUUCAGAAACUAUACAUACAUCCAAGCACACUGAAUUCAAAGGAAAAACACCGUACUACUCAAUCAUCUUAACAGUUCCAGGACACAUUCACCUCCGUUUGAACUUCCUGGAAAAUGUGCCACACUCCCUGCAUCAUCCGCGUCAUCCACUGUUGUCUGCAGGGCUCAGCAGCAGCCACGUCUUUCAGAGUUGCCACCUGGUUCCCUGAGUGGGCUUCCUCUCUUUGUGAAUCUUGUUGCCUGCCAACUGUGUAAAAGGAAACACAGAAACAAAUUACACUGAUAUUUUAAU